rnacentral:rRNA from 1 species
UACGUAGGGUGCGAGCGUUGUCCGGAAUUAUUGGGCGUAAAGAGCUCGUAGGCGGUGUGCCACGUCGAUCGUGAAAACUUGGGGCUUAACUCUGAGCUUGCGGUCGAUACGGGCAUCACUGGAGUUCGGCAGGGGAGACUGGAAUUCCUGGUGUAGCGGUGAAAUGCGCAGAUAUCAGGAGGAACACCGGUGGCGAAGGCGGGUCUCUGGGCCGAUACUGACGCUGAGGAGCGAAAGCGUGGGGAGCGAACAGG